AUCAUCUGCCAGCUCUCUCCCUUCCUCUCUUAUUUUUCCCCAAAUUGAGGGAGUCAAAUCCCUAAUCAGAAAUCUGCCGCUCCACUCGACUCGCCGGAACGUCGCCGACGGAACCUCUCGACGUCUCCUUAUCGGCGUAUCACUACUCCGGUCGGCGCUCCCUCCGCGCCGUCGAAGCUCGCCUCUUCUUGAAUGAUAGGGACCUCAAUUGGGAAACCCUAGGCAGGUGGAGGACUGGUCGCCAUCUAGUCAGCACCGCGCAGCUGUGGCCUCGGAGUCGUCCCGACACGGUGAAGCAGCCGCCUCGCCGGCUAUCUGGUUGGGCACUGUAGUUUGCUACCACUGCCUCUCGCCCGCCGGGUCAGAUCUGUCUAGCGGCGGCGCUGCUACGAGGCCUCGUCGUCGUCCACGCUCGACAGAACAGAACAUCGCAUCUCCGAGUUUUGGUUUCGGUCGAGAGCUCCAUCACUCGCCGCCGUAGCUAAGUCUCCUAUCUAAAUUGCCACUUACUUUUUAAAGCUUGAGUCUUAUGUUGAAGGGGUUAUUGUUCUGUAAGUUUUAGGACGCUUCGUUUGUGCUAAGUUUCUGUUCAGGGAAAUCCCUCGAUUUGUUGAUGAUUUGAUUUUCUUUUCGAUCUAUGCUCAGCCCUUGUACUAGUUAAACUUGGCAUCGUAUGAUUGUGUCGGAAGUGUUGUGAAUUCGUGGUUGUUUCUACUUAUGUGAACUCGUUCUAUUGCUAUAGAUGGUGUUCUGUGGUGAGCCUCGGCUCUCAGCUAUCUAGUGCUUUAUGCUACAUGAUGAGUUGAUGGAAUUAACAUUGCUUGAGCCUGCCUGAGAGGGAACGAAAUCUUACCUCUCUCCCUUAGCUCAACUUCAGUCCUUCUCACUGCCUCGGUUCCUCUCACUGCCUCGGUCCUUCCCUCUCUUCGCCUCACUAUAGUGCGAUUGCUUGCGAUAAUGAGGGAGGAAGAGGCUGAGGCCUAUUUAUACUUGUUGCCUAACUGAAAGCCUGAGAAAAGGCUGGUGUACUUGGCCUAAAAAGGAGCCUCAGGCUGUGCCAAAAUGUCUGGCUUCUCUGCAGCUCCGCAGGGCAUGUACCCUGGGUCCUUAGGCACAUUUUCUAACUGAUAUUGGUGGCAUAUGGGGGUGUACUCGUGAGUUAUGUGAGCUGCUGGGUUUCUAUCAUAAUCUGUCGUACUUUAACCGUUUUUGGCUUCAUGUGUGGGUCUAGUACUAGGUUCAUUUAUGAAUUUUCCUGUGUGCACACAACAGGUGCACACAGGAGCAGGUAUUGGGUGGCUGAUUUCUGGACCAUGGCAGGCUUAUCUGGCAGAGGUACGAGCUGCUCACUAAUGGAGUGAAAGGCUGGAUGGAAUUGCCUGUUCAGCUCAAGCAAAUUCUCCAUCUUUCAAAAGGACCCAGAGGCUGGCUACACAUGGUUCAUCACCCAACCUUCCAGCCCGUCGAGCCACUCCUGUUCUGGGCCGAGACGGCUCGCGCUGAAGGCCGAGGAAGUUCUCUAGGAACUCUCGGUUGUAUUAGUUCAAUCUGAACUCUCACUCAUUCUUUCCUCUUCUCUUUUUCUUUGUUUCAACACAUGUAUUUUUUCUAUAGUUGUCGGAUUUCAUUUCCUUUAUUUUCACUGUAUGUUCAACGUUUGUAAUUUUAGACUUAGCUCGAUACCAAACGUUGUGUUUUCGUUUACUCAAGAGAUAAUAUAUACUCUUUCAUUCUCAUUCUUUAAA